GCUAAACGCGAAGAACCUUACCUGGCCUUGACAUGUCCGGAAUUCUGCAGAGAUGCGGAAGUGCCUUCGGGAAUCGGAACACAGGUGCUGCAUGGCUGUCGUCAGCUCGUGUCGUGAGAUGUUGGGUUAAGUCCCGCAACGAGCGCAACCCUUGUCCUUAGUUGCCAGCGAGUAAUGUCGGGAACUCUAAGGAGACUGCCGGUGACAAACCGGAGGAAGGUGGGGAUGACGUCAAGUCCUCAUGGCCCUUACGGCCAGGGCUACACACGUACUACAAUGGUCGGUACAGAGGGUUGCCAAACCGCAAGGUGGAGCCAAUCCCAGAAACCUUCUCUCAGUCCGGAUCGGAGUCUGCAACUCGACUCCGUGAAGUCGGAAUCGCUAGUAAUCGCAGAUCAGCAUUGCUGCGGUGAAUACGUUCCCGGGUCUUGUACACACCG
rnacentral:rRNA from 1 species